GUCAGAAUGGCCGAGCGGUCUAAGGCGCCAGACUCAAGGUUGUGCACCUUCUCCAAAACAGAGAGAUUUCUGGUCUCGAAUGGAGGCGUGGUUCAAAUCCCACUUCUGACA
rnacentral:tRNA from 1 species